CGCCCGCUCAGAAACUCAAAGGAAGUUGACGGGGGCCCGGCACAAGCGGUGGAGCAUGUGGUUUAAUUCGAUGAUACGCGAGGAACCUUACCUGGGCUCAAAUGUAUGUUGACGUAUUCUGAAAGGGAUACUUCUUCGGACAAUAUACAAGGUGCUGCAUGGUUGUCGUCAGCUCGUGCCGUGAGGUGUCGGGUUAAGUCCCAUAACGAGCGCAACCCCUAUCAUUAGUUGCCAUCAGGUCAAGCUGGGGACUCUAAUGAAACUGCCUACGCAAGUAGUGAGGAAGGUGGGGAUGACGUCAAAUCAGCACGGCCCUUACGUCCAGGGCUACACACGUGCUACAAUGGCCGAUACAGAGGGCAGCUACCUGGUGACAGGAUGCAAAUCUCCAAAGUCGGUCUCAGUUCGGAUCGGAGUCUGCAACCCGACUCCGUGAAGUUGGAUUCGCUAGUAAUCGCGCAUCAGCCAUGGCGCGGUGAAUACGUUCCCGGGCCUU
rnacentral:rRNA from 1 species